rnacentral:lncRNA from 1 species
AUGGUACUCCUCUUGCUGGCAGUGUCCUCUCCUUCGCUGAAGACCUCAUCGCUCUCCGCUGAGGAGCAGUUGAAUGAGGAAGCAGAGGAAGAGACGGAGGAAUGCAUAAGCAUCCUGGAGAGGAUGGGAUGGGGUGAAGGAGACCAGUGGGUUUCACUACAGCUCCCCUCAGAGCUAAGGCUGCUGGCACCUUCCUUCUCUCCACCCUUCUCUCUAUCCCUGACACUUUCCCCUUCUGUAUUUCUAUCCCCUGAUCUUUCUCCUUCCAUCUCUCUAUCCCCUAUGUCCCCUCUAUCUGUCUCUCUAUCCCCUAUGUCCUCUCUGUCUGUCUCUCUAUCCCCUAUGUCCCCUCUGUCUGUCUCUCUAUCCCUUGUGUCCUCUCUGUCUGUCUCUCUAUCCCCUAUGUCCCCUCUGUCUGUCUCUCUAUCCCCUAUGUCCCCUCUAUCUGUCUCUCUAUCCCCUAUGUCCCCUCUAUCUGUCUCUCUAUCCCCAAUGUCCUCUCUGUCUGUCUCUCUAUCCCUUGUGUCCUCUCUGUCUGUCUCUCUAUCCCCUAUGUCCCCUCUGUCUGUCUCUCUAUCCCCUGUGUCCCCUCUGUCUGUCUCUCUAUCCCCUGUGUCCUCUCUGUCUAUCUCUAUAUCCCCUAUGUCCCCUCUGUCUGUCUCUCUAUCCCCUAUGUCCCCUCUGUCUGUCUCUCUAUCCCCUAUGUCCUCUCUGUCUGUCUCUCUAUCCCCUAUGUCCCCUCUGUCUGUCUCUCUAUCCCCUAUGUCCUCUCUGUCUGUCUCUCUAUCCCCUAUGUCCCCUCUGUCUGUCUCUCUAUCCCCUGUGUCCUCUCUGUCUGUCUCUCUAUCCCCUAUGUCCCCUCUGUCUGUCUCUCUAUCCCCUAUGUCCCCUCUGUCUGUCUCUCUAUCCCCUGUGUCCACUCUGUCUGUCUCUCUAUCCCCUGUGUCCUCUCUGUCUGUCUCUCUAUCCCCUGUGUCCCCUCUGUCUGUCUCUCUAUCCCCUAUGUCCCCUAUGUCUGUCUCUCUAUCCCCUGUGUCCCCUCUGUCUGUCUCUCUAUCCCCUGUGUCCUUUCUGUCUGUCAUUCUGUCCCCUAUCCUCUCAAGCUUGGUCUCUUUAUCACGUGUCUGCUCUGUACUCUUCCUCUCCUCGCUCCUCUCAUUCAGCACACCUCCAUCUUGCAUCCCCUCUUCCUCUUCCAUCUUUCUCAUCCUCCCUGACCUGCUCCAUCUCUCUCUUUUCUCCAUCUUUUCCCAUCCCUUUGUCUUUGCUGUUGGCAUGUUCUCUCCCGACCUCUCCCUUUUACUCAGUCUCCAUCUCUCAUUUGCGCUCCUUCUGUUCAUCCUUGAAUCCUUUACUCUCUCACUCUCUGACCCCUCCUCCUCUACAUGUUCUUCUCCCCUCUCCCGCACUCCACUGUCAUAUCUUUGA